rnacentral:rRNA from 1 species
GAUGAACGCCGGCGGUGUGCCUAAUACAUGCAAGUCGUACGAAGCGCUUAAACGGAUUUCUUCGGAAUGAAGUUUUUGCGACUGAGUGGCGGACGGGUGAGUAACGCGUGGGUAACCUGCCUCAUACAGGGGGGAUAACAGUUAGAAAUGACUGCUAAUACCGCAUAAGCGCACAGUGCUGCAUGGCACAGUGUGAAAAACUCCGGUGGUAUGAGAUGGACCCGCGUCUGAUUAGCUAGUUGGUGGGGUAACGGCCUACCAAGGCGACGAUCAGUAGCCGGCCUGAGAGGGUGAACGGCCACAUUGGGACUGAGACACGGCCCAA